UUCUUGUUCUGUGUGUUUCAUGUAAAACCAAUCAGCAGCAGUCAACUGCUGGCUGUCUCAAUGUUAAAACUAUUAUAAGAUACACACAAACUGUAAGCAGGCGGACAAACAAUGAAUGUAGUUUGCUGAGGCGACAGACGUAAGGGAGAACCACGGAGGGCCACACGGCAUGUUCCACUGGGCUGAUUACCACACAUAGCCAUAUCUCUCUCUCCCUCUCUGUCUCUCGCCCUCUUUAUCAUUUUUUUUCUUUUCAAAUUGAGCUACUGGCCCCAAUAGCCUAAUGCUCAUGUGGAGUUGAUGUUGAAUAAAAGUCAUCAGAGUAGUAGUAGAGUUUAUUUACCGAACUUCACGUGACAGCCUCCAUGAUCUCUUUAUAAAAUGAUUGUGUUAAUCGACCCUGUCACCAGCCAGCAACAACUCGCCCAGCCCAUCUGGCAAGUAAGAUUAAGCACACACCACAGUUGGUUUUAACGUUCAGGUGUUGUUAGAGGUUGGUUUUGAUCCUGGUCACUCAAUAAAAUUCACAGCUGUUAUCUACUUUUAAUGAUGAUCGUUUCAAAGGACAACAAACCAACUGUGUCAUGCUGCAGGCUCUGGACAGAAGGUAAAGGUGGACCCACCAGCUUGCUGUAAAGGAAACUGAGACCCUGGAGAAAUCGCUCCCCGUUCGAGCAGGAGAUAAGUGGGCUUUGGAUGAUAGUGUGGUGGAGCUGCACACUGCCAAUACCUUCUUUUCACAAGGUCUGUCACAGACUGGUCAUUGGCUCAGAUCACCCAGACCUGAUCAUUCCCAACGAGCCAGUACGCCUCAGCCCACCAGGAGUCCCAGCUACAGUUCGAACUUGAAAGACAGAAUUGUGUUUCACUGCUCUUUAGUUAUGAUGGACUGAACUAUCUGUUGCCAGGAUCCACAUUAGGAUCCCCACUCUUAGGAGUUCUUGUUCAUUUUUGGAAACAUCCUGUGGCUAUCAGUUGAGAUAUAAAACAGAUGUUGCACCAAGUCUGUCCACUCUCCAGCGGUCAACCCCUACUGCAGCUCGUGUGGCGAGAUCUCCUCUAAGAGAAGCCACCGUAGGUUUAUGAAUGGUGUGUCCUCCCAUUUGGAACGACGUAUGCAGUCCCUGCUGCGCCACCUUUGCCUUGCAGAGGCACGUGCUCAACCGCAGUGAACAAGGGGUCAGUUUUCAUCACGCCGUGCAGAAAAACUUCUUUGUUGAUAAUUGCCUGCUGAGCACAUCCUCCCCACAGGAAGCCAGACUCUGGGUGCACAAGUUGGGAGAACUGCUGGCAUCAGGUGGUUUUGAAAUAAGACAGUGGGGCGGUAAUGUUGCUUCAGUGGUUGGCCACCUUCCAACAGAGUUGAGGAACUCAAGAGUCCCAAUAGACCCUAAAGACCAUGCCCUUGGAUUAACCUGGCAUUGUUCACCAGACACCCUUCAGUACCUUCACAGCCCAUCCCGCCUCCAAGAUGUGUCGAUGCGCAACAUCUAUUGCAUUCUUGUGGGCCAGUAUGAUCCUAUUGGAUAUAUAAUCCCCUUUUCCACCAGGGCCAAAGUCUUAGUCCAGCAGGAACAGCAGGGGAAUGUUCAGGUCUCCUUUGUGCUGGUCAGAUCUUGUGUCACUCUCAAACAGAUCAGCAGAUCAGUUCAGCGGUCACUUCAGACAUAUAGCCACACUUUAGACUUCGACCAGUGUCCUUUGGCACAAUGGACCAAAACUGGCACGGAUAUGUUAUUUUUUUAUUUUUUUAUUUUUUUUAUGGUGAUUGAGGGCAGAUCUGCAUCAGCUUAUUUUGUUAGCAUAUUACUACUGAAUCAAGGAGUAGCAAGCAUUUCUAGAAUUUGUGGAAUAUUAUGAUUAAGUGUUUUUAUUAUGUACUGAUUUCAAUAUCUCACAUAUUAGCUGUGGCUGGAAGUAGACUUUGAUAGGGGAAACAUCUGAUAAGGAGUGUUUACUGAUAUUUAUGAGCCAAGAAAGUUUUGGCAGGGACUUUUCCUCAUGUUGAACAGAACAAAUUUGCUGAUGACUGUGAAUGUGAGUGUCAGUUGUUUUUGGGCAGCAGUGGUCUGGUAGGAGGGAUCUGUUGGGCAAUAUUUGGUUUAGUUUAGUUCCUGUAUCUAUGCCAAAGGGUGGGGUCAAGUGUAUAAAACUUUUAGUAAAAGAAAAGACUUGCUAAUAACUGUAGUGUGUAAGUAUUCUUCGAGCAUGUAAAAGAGAUAUUAAAGCAGCAUUUCACAUGA